rnacentral:rRNA from 1 species
UCUGACGACCAUAGCAUCCUGGUACCACCCCUUCCCAUCCCGAACAGGACCGUGAAACAGGACCGCGCCGAUGAUAGUGCCCAUGCGGGUGCGAAAGUAGGUCAUCGUCAGAC